rnacentral:rRNA from 1 species
UACGUAGGGGGCAAGCGUUGUCCGGAUUCAUUGGGCGUAAAGAGCGUGUAGGCGGCCAGGUAGGUGGGUUGUGAAAACUGGAGGCUCAACCUUCAGACGUCGACCGAAACCAUCUGGCUAGAGUCCGGGAGAGGAGAGUGGAAUUCCUGGUGUAGCGGUGAAAUGCGCAGAUAUCAGGAAGAACACCCGUGGCGAAAGCGGCUCUCUGGAACGGUACUGACGCUGAGACGCGAAAGCGUGGGGAGCGAACAGG